rnacentral:rRNA from 1 species
GAAUUCGCCCUUAGAGUUUGAUCCUGGCUCAGGACGAACGCUGGCGGCGUGCUUAACACAUGCAAGUCGAACGAGAAUCUACUGAAAGAGUCUUCGGACAAUGGAUGUAGAGGAAAGUGGCGGACGGGUGAGUAACGCGUGAGGAACCUGCCUUGAAGAGGGGGACAACAGUUGGAAACGACUGCUAAUACCGCAUGAUGCAUAGGGGUCGCAUGAUCUUUAUGCCAAAGAUUUAUCGCUUCAAGAUGGCCUCGCGUCUGAUUAGCUAGUUGGCGGGGUAACGGCCCACCAAGGCGACGAUCAGUAGCCGGACUGAGAGGUUGAACGGCCACAUUGGGACUGAGAUACGGCCCAGACUCCUACGGGAGGCAGCAGUGGGGAAUAUUGGGCAAUGGGCGCAAGCCUGACCCAGCAACGCCGCGUGAAGGAAGAAGGCUUUCGGGUUGUAAACUUCUUUUAAGAGGGAAGAGUAGAAGACGGUACCUCUAGAAUAAGCCACGGCUAACUACGUGCCAGCAGCCGCGGUAAUACGUAGGUGGCAAGCGUUGUCCGGAUUUACUGGGUGUAAAGGGCGUGCAGCCGGGUCUGCAAGUCAGAUGUGAAAUCCAUGGGCUCAACCCAUGAACUGCAUUUGAAACUGUAGAUCUUGAGUGUCGGAGGGGCAAUCGGAAUUCCUAGUGUAGCGGUGAAAUGCGUAGAUAUUAGGAGGAACACCAGUGGCGAAGGCGACUUACUGGACUGAAACUGACGUUGAGGCACGAAAGUGUGGGGAGCAAACAGGAUUAGAUACCCUGGUAGUCCACACUGUAAACGAUGAAUACUAGGUGUGCGGGGACUGACCCCCUGCGUGCCGCAGUAAACACAAUAAGUAUUCCACCUGGGGAGUACGACCGCAAGGUUGAAACUCAAAGGAAUUGACGGGGGCCCGCACAAGCAGUGGAGUAUGUGGUUUAAUUCGACGCAACGCGAAGAACCUUACCAAGUCUUGACAUCCCUUGACGAUGCUGGAAACAGUAUUUCUCUUCGGAGCAAGGAGACAGGUGGUGCAUGGUUGUCGUCAGCUCGUGUCGUGAGAUGUUGGGUUAAGUCCCGCAACGAGCGCAACCCUUAUGGUCAGUUACUACGCAAGAGGACUCUGGCCAGACUGCCGUUGACAAAACGGAGGAAGGUGGGGAUGACGUCAAAUCAUCAUGCCCUUUAUGACUUGGGCUACACACGUACUACAAUGGCGUUAAACAAAGAGAAGCAAGACCGCGAGGUGGAGCAAAACUCAGAAACAACGUCCCAGUUCGGACUGCAGGCUGCAACUCGCCUGCACGAAGUCGGAAUUGCUAGUAAUCGUGGAUCAGCAUGCCACGGUGAAUACGUUCCCGGGCCUUGUACUCACCGCCCGUCA